GACGAACGCUGGCGGCGUGCUUAACACAUGCCAGUCGAACGGAAAGGCCCUGCUUUUGUGGGGUGCUCGAGUGGCGAACGGGUGAGUAACACGUGAGUAACCUGCCCUUGACUUUGGGAUAACUUCAGGAAACUGGGGCUAAUACCGGAUAGGAGCUCCUGCUGCAUGGUGGGGGUUGGAAAGUUUCGGCGGUUGGGGAUGGACUCGCGGCUUAUCAGCUUGUUGGUGGGGUAGUGGCUUACCAAGGCUUUGACGGGUAGCCGGCCUGAGAGGGUGACCGGCCACAUUGGGACUGAGAUACGGCCCAGACUCCUACGGGAGGCAGCAGUGGGGAAUAUUGCACAAUGGGCGGAAGCCUGAUGCAGCAACGCCGCGUGCGGGAUGACGGCCUUCGGGUUGUAAACCGCUUUCGCAUGUGACGAAGCGUGAGUGACGGUAAUGGGUAAAGAAGCACCGGCUAACUACGUG
rnacentral:rRNA from 1 species